rfam:Coniochaeta ligniaria NRRL 30616 unplaced genomic scaffold CONLIGscaffold_10, whole genome shotgun sequence.
GGUUGUGUAGUGUAGUUGGUUAUCACAUCGGAUUCUGAACUCCAGAAUCUUCCGGUGACCCCGGUUCGAAUCCGGGCACGACCU